rnacentral:rRNA from 1 species
UACGAAGGGGGCGAGCGUUGUUCGGAUUUACUGGGCGUAAAGGGCGCGCAGGCGGCAGAUCAAGUCAGAUGUGAAAGCCCCGGGCUCAACCUGGGAACUGCAUCCGAUACUGGAUGGCUUGAAUUCGGGAGAGGGAUGCAGAAUUCCAGGUGUAGCGGUGAAAUGCGUAGAUAUCUGGAGGAACACCGGUGGCGAAGGCGGCAUCCUGGACCGGCAUUGACGCUGAGGAGCGAAAGCCAGGGGAGCAAACGGG